CCCCCCCCCCCCCCCCCCACGUGAAAAUUUUAUUUCAAUGUGAAAGUUUCUUUUGAGCUAGCCAUAUUAUUUAGUCAAUGGUUAGGACUUGUGUAUCUUUGUUGUUUAUGACUAUUGGAUCAAGGGGAAACAAUUCAUGUAAAAUACAAAGGGAAGAUUUGUGGGACUUGGAUAAAACAGAAAAUGUUGAUAUCCGGGUCACUCACAGAUGUUCUCAUAUCAUGACCUAUAAAAUAUAAAUAUAUUAAAUUCAAAUUUAUUGGAAUUAUAAAGUUAUGAAGCACAAAACUGUGUCCUGAGUUAC